rnacentral:rRNA from 1 species
GAGUUUGAUCAUGGCUCAGGACGAACGCUGGCGGCGUGCUUAACACAUGCAAGUCGAACGGUAAGGCUCCAGCUUGCUGGGGUACACGAGUGGCGAACGGGUGAGUAACACGUGGGUGACCUGCCCUGCACUUCGGGAUAAGCCUGGGAAACUGGGUCUAAUACCGGAUAGGACCGCACCGUGAGGGUGUGGUGGAAAGUUUUUCGU